GUCUGUAUCUGUUUUGUAAAUAAGUUCAUUUGUAUCAUUUUUUUAGAUUCCACAUAUAAGCCACAUCAGAACUGCAUUCCAAUCUGAGACUCUUUCUACCCAGUCCCCCUUCCUCCCCCAUCCUUCACAGGCCUCAGACCUGCAUCACAGUCUGAUGCUCUCUCCCCCGACUCCUGCUCCCUCCCCUGCAUCCUUCAGAGGUUUUUCACGGAAUAACUCUCUUGCCUGUCUAAUCUUACCUUGGUGACCACUUCUCAGAAGACCUAAGCUAACAUAGAACCCAGGAUCACUGCAGCAUCGCUCACCAUCAUCUCUGACCAGAUUUGAGCAGCAUCGCAGCGUUUUCACCAAUACUAGUGCUCGGCCCCUUUCCACCAGUUAUGGGAACCAUAGAUCCUUUUCCAGAGAGAACCAGGAACUCAUUUUCCGUGUAACAUCCUCCUGGCCUAAGGGAGUUCAGUGCGGGAGAUGGAAGAUGAUUAAAUAGUUAAGUUGGUUUUACAUCUGGCUUUUAAGCCUGAGUAAGUUCUUUGUAUCCAUAAUCUGUAUCAGCUAUGCCCAUCCUCUUCUAUCACCUAGCUUGUAGGUCAUCAAUAAAUAUUUCUUGUACUUUUUCUCAUACUACCAGCUAAGGGCUUCAACGUACUCGAGGUAGUAUGUGCCAGGCGAUUGCAAUGCCUUCAUUCUUUCUUCCACAGGAGAACAGCAGAUUCCUAUACUGUGCUCAGGCGACUUGCUUGCAGUGUGUCUUCUCAUUCUGGAGCCUCUCCCGAGGUCCUAAACCACAGACUUCCCAGUUUGACUAGAUGAAGAUCAGUUUCCUCAAUUCUUUGUUCUCCACUCUGAACAUGAAUUUACUCUCAUUCUCUAUAUGAUUGUAAGUACAAUACUGCACACCUAUUUGGAAACAACCAAAACUGCUUGACUGUUCUUCUGUUU
rnacentral:lncRNA from 1 species